CACAAAACUGACGGAAGCGGCUGCGGUGGAGACUGGAUUUAAAGCUUUCAGUUGACAUACAGUUAAUUUCUCCGUCACUAAGAGCUCAUGGUGUGAGAGCCGAGUUCAGCAAAAGACCUCGAGGUGCGCCACAUGUAGCUCUGGGCUCUGCGUCUGUGGAUGCAAUUAUUGGCAAACAAGACUCACUACAUUAAACACAGUAACCCAAAUCUAUGAUACUGCAGGUUGGGAUAAUCAAAAACAAGGAUUAUGUUGAUUACCUUGCUUUAUCUUCU